UGGUUAUGAUCUUCAAUUUCCUCUGUUAAA
rnacentral:piRNA from 1 species